rnacentral:sRNA from 1 species
CCUGCGGUGCUUUAACUUGUGUAACAGAGAUGCUGCCUCUGGGAGAGGCGGGGAGGGAGGGGCCAACUGGAGCGGGCGGCGGGAGGGUGGAGGGCGGGGCGCGGCUUGGGGCCUGGGUUCCUUUGCCCCUUGCCCACCAGGGAGGGGUGGGAGACGAGAGAGGGUGAACUUUCCCCUGCGAGAUUCUGGUGAAAGGGGAAAUGUGCUUCGAGUCAGUAAAGCUGCGCAAGUGCACAGUCAAGGAGAGAGUCUUGGGAAAACCAAGGAUAGUUCCCGGAGAUGACUUUUGGACUGCGGAAACGUUUGUCAGAGGAAAGAGGCUUCAGUUUAAUGUGAGAUCAUUGGAAGUUGAACUAUUCAGGCGGCGAGCAGAGCCCCUUCCUCCAUCUUCCCACUGUAUGGUCUUGUCCCUUAGCCUAUAAUUUCUUAUAAAGAGCGUUUUGAAGACUAGGUUUUUACUGGCAGCGCCCUGAUUCAGCCUCACAGUAUAAAGAGAGAAGUCAGAGAAUCCUAGAAAUUUAUUGCUUGAAGAAGGGGUUGGUGUCCUCAUAUCUCACCUUCCUCAGGCUGGGCUUCAUCACCAGGCCUCCUCACAGAUUCCUGUCCGUUCUGUGUCCUGGACUCCGGAUACCUCAACUCUCAGUACUUUGUGCUCAGCCCAGGCCCAGAGCCAUGGCUAUCUCCUCUUCCUCCUGCGAACUGCCCCUGGUGGCUGUGUGCCAGGUAACAUCGACGCCAGACAAGCAACAGAACUUUAAAACAUGUGCUGAGCUGGUUCGAGAGGCUGCCAGACUGGGUGCCUGCCUGGCUUUCCUGCCUGAGGCAUUUGACUUCAUUGCACGGGACCCUGCAGAGACGCUACACCUGUCUGAACCACUGGGUGGGAAACUUUUGGAAGAAUACACCCAGCUUGCCAGGGAAUGUGGACUCUGGCUGUCCUUGGGUGGUUUCCAUGAGCGUGGCCAAGACUGGGAGCAGACUCAGAAAAUCUACAAUUGUCACGUGCUGCUGAACAGCAACGGGGCAGUAGUGGCCACUUACAGGAAGACACAUCUGUGUGACGUAGAGAUUCCAGGGCAGGGGCCUAUGUGUGAAAGCAACUCUACCAUGCCUGGGCCCAGUCUUGAGUCACCUGUCAGCACACCAGCAGGCAAGAUUGGUCUAGCUGUCUGCUAUGACAUGCGGUUCCCUGAACUCUCUCUGGCAUUGGCUCAAGCUGGAGCAGAGAUACUUACCUAUCCUUCAGCUUUUGGAUCCGUUACAGGCCCAGCCCACUGGGAGGUGUUGCUGCGGGCCCGUGCUAUCGAAACCCAGUGCUAUGUAGUGGCAGCGGCACAGUGUGGACGCCACC